GGUUCGUUGGUGUAGUUGGUUAUCACAUCUGUCUCACAUUCGAUUUGAAAAAAUUCUUGCAUGUGCACAGGAGGUCCUGAGUUCGAUCCUCAGUCGAACCA